GGACUAGUGGUCCAGAUAUUAGAGCGUCCGCCUCGGAUGUGGGAGGUUGCAGGUUCGAACCCCGGCCUAGUCAU